UCCCAGACUCCUACGGGAGGCAGCAGUGGGGAAUAUUGCACAAUGGGGGAAACCCUGAUGCAGCGACGCCGCGUGAGUGAAGAAGUAUCUCGGUACGUAAAGCUCUAUCAGCAGGGAAGAAAAUGACGGUACCUGACCAAGAAGCCCCGGCUAACUACGUGCCAGCAGCCGCGGUAAUACGUAGGGGGCAAGCGUUAUCCGGAUUUACUGGGUGUAAAGGGAGCGUAGACGGCGGCGCAAGUCUGGAGUGAAAUGCCGGGGCGCAACCCCGGAACUGCUUUGGAAACUGUGCAGCUCGAGUGCAGGAGAGGGAAGCGGAAUUCCUAGUGUAGCGGUGAAAUGCGUAGAUAUUAGGAGGAGCACCAGUGGCGAAGGCGGCUUACUGGGCUGUAACUGACGCUGAGGCUCGAAAACGUGGGGAGCAAACAGGAUUAGAUACCCCCGUAAAA
rnacentral:rRNA from 1 species